GGAGAAUAGAAGGAUGAAGGGAUGGAGAUGGAGGGAAUGGGAGAAUAGAAGGAUGAAGGGAUGGAGAUGGAGGGAAUGGUGGAAUAGAUGGAUGAAGGGAUGAGGGAUGGAGGGAUGGGGGAAUAGAGGGAUGAAGGGAUGAAGGGAUGGAGAUGGAGGGAAUGGUGGAAUAGAGGGAUAAAGGGAUGAGGGAUUGGGUGAUGAAGAGGUGAAGGGGGUAUGAUGGAGACUGAUACCUCAUUUUAUUGAUCCCCAAUCCUUAGGUAAAGCUGUACAGUGCAACGUGAAUGUCAAUACACACAAUAGGCUGACUGGGGAGGUGAUUUCACACAGUCACAGUCCCGCGAUAAGAGCUAAGACGUUAAUAUUAGUGUAAACUCUUCACAGUUGUGUUAUUGGGUACAGUGAUUCCACAUUUCAUUGUUUCACAUUGUUUAGCAAUAUCUAGUCUAAAUAUGGCAUGAUUCCACUAAUUGUAUCCAUUUGCAUCACUUUCAAAGAGGGACUUUUAUUUAGAAGGCGAACCGCACAGUCCACUAUUGUGGCUAAUCCUAGCUAAAUUUGGCUACUUGAAAACUAUGUCGCAGGUAAAAAUGUAUUGGUCAGAGUGUUGCAGGUAAAAAUGUAUUGGUCAGAGGGUUGCAGGUGAAAAAUGUAUUGGUCAGAGGGUUGCAGGUAAAAAUGUAUUGGUCAGAGGGUUGCAGGUGAAAAAUGUAUUGGUCAGAGGGUUGCAGGUAAAAAUGUAUUGGUCGGAGGGUUGCAGGUAAAAAUGUAUUGGUCGAGGGUUGCAGGUAAAAAUGUAUUGGUCGAGGGUUGCAGGUAAAAAUGUAUUGGUCGAGGGUUGCAGGUAAAAAUGUAUUGGUCGAGGGUUGCAGGUAAAAAUGUAUUGGUCGAGGGUUGCAGGUAAAAAUAUAUUGGUCGAGGGUUGCAGGUGAAAAAUGUAUUGGUCGAGGGUUGCAGGUUAAAAUGUAUUGGUCGAGGGUUGCAGGUAAAAAGGUAUUGGUCAGAGGGUUGCAGGUGAAAAUGUAUUGGUCAGAGGGUUGCAG
rnacentral:lncRNA from 1 species